UUUUUUUAUUUUGGUAACAGAAAAUUAACUACCUUCUUCAAUUUUUCCACUUUAUUUUUCCUAUUUAUUGUUAAGUAAAUAGUCAUUUAUGUAAUGACAUUUAUGUUGUGGCUGUUUUAUGUAAACAACCAUUCUGAAGAGUUGCAGCUCUUCAGAUUUCAGGUCAACUUUGACUAUAAAUACAAUACUAUUCUGCUCGAAAUUUUCAUGCUAUUUUUUGAGUUUCUUCUUCUUCUUCUGCAUAGUUUAAACAUCAAACGAAGCAGCAGUAAAUGUGCUUUUCUACUGAACUUUUUGUUCGCUGAAAUACUGGAUUUUGAAGUACCCCUAGACCAGUGCAUAAUUCGUUCUAUCCUGGGAGGAAAUAAUCCAUAACCUUGAGUACUAGGAGUGCAUUAAAUUCCUUAAAGAUACACUGUAAAUUUAGUGAGCUCGAAUUAGUUUAUGUUAUUUCGUUGUUCAUUAAUUUUUAUGUCAUUUAUAUUUCCUGAAUUAUUUUACAAAUACAGUUUACUAAUAAUUAUCUCUAGAAGGAUCAACAGUUAUAUAUAUAUAUAUAUAUAUAUAUUUGUCUUGUCAUGCUUACGCAGUAUAUAUGAUUUUCCCUCGGUCUAGGAUAUAAGCUGUCGGAAUACUGAAAAGUUGUACUUUGUGUAUAGGAAGAAGACAAUCUCAACAAGAAUUUUCUUUUUAUAUAAGUCCCACUAACAAUAUCUUUUGUAUCAAAACUAAGUAAUAUUGUCAUCACGAGUCGACAGUCGACAUUGAAUGAAUAUGGAAUGCCAUUCGGUCUUCUUCUAUAAAAUAGAAAAUAUUAAUGCCAAUCAUGUGGUGAUUAACUCAAAGGAGUCGACAUCUCUGUUAAUGUGAAUAAUUCUUUUUGAGAGACAACAACAAGCACUGAUCAUGGCAGGGGUGGAGGCGUGGAGCAGCCUAUGUCCCUAUCUUUUAAGAAUAAGGUCCGAAUAAUGCAUGUCACUCUAUAAAUAUAUAAUAUAUCAAUAUUUGGUUUAUUUGAUGUUGGCUCCAUAUUAUAUUCCAUUCUAGGUGUGUUAGUAUUAGAUAAUAUUCUCCUAUCAGAUCAGAUGGGAAUAGACGAACUUGAUUCUCUUUAUCCUUUGAUGGAAACUCUCAUUAAGUUGCAAAUAACUGAUCGAUGAGUAAUAUUAUAAAACACGUCAAUUUGAUAUUGACAACUCAUUAUACAUGUGUUAAUCAUGUUAACAAGUCUAUAGUACAUGUGUUAAAUAAUUCUAAUCCUAAUGUAUAUAGGUUGUCGUUGUUCAAUGAAUUUAACUUUUUAAGUACCGAUUCAUCAAAGAGGAAACCAACAACGUUUUUCAUGAUUUGGCUUUGUGUCGGGCAUAGAAUUCUAAGUUUGUGUACGUAUAAAAAAUAAAAUAAAAAACCAGUUAGCUGUAACAGUUGCUUGCCGUUACUUGUGCAGAGCACUAGCAGAAGAUACUAUACUCCAUUUAUGAGUUUAAGUUAAUUAUAUUUGUUUACCCUUAAAAUUGAAUAACAAUUAAAUUUAUAAAUAACUUUAGAAUAUAUAAUUUUAAUUAGCAAAAAUUAAGAAAUAUAAAAAUUAAUAUUAAAAAUUAACUAUAAAAUAAAGCAAACCAAUACAAUGAGCAGUUACUGCCUUUGAGCUACAUCAUCCUCGAACAUACAAAAUAUGCUAACAAAUGAGUGUGAACUGAACAAGAGAGCUUAAGAGAGAAAAUGUAAUAUAUUAUUUUGUUAUAUGUAAAUUCCCUUACAAAAUGAUUAGAACCCUCUUUACAUAGUAAAAGAAUUCUACUUAUGGUACAGUUUUAAAUACAAAAAAGAAAUACCAUGAUUGGCUAAAUGUCCAGUCUUGACUUGAUAUGUGUUGAGAUUUCGCCACGACCAUUGCCCGGCCACGGAUAUCUUGAAAUUUUGUUAUUCGGUUUAGCAAGCUUUCUCCGAUCAUGAUUGGUCUCCAUCUCGCUUCGAUCUCGAUUACACCUGGUCUUGAUUUUGAUCGAUCAUCGACUCACGAGCUUAGCGAUCUCUCUUCGUGCCAUGGUUUGGCGCAAUGCGAGGCCGGGCCUCGGUCUUCCACCCCCAAUUUCGAUUAGCCAUACAUAUUUAGAGAGAUCCGAUCUUGACCAUAUGCAAUAUUCUAAUGACUCUUGUACUGAACUUUGAUAAAUUGAUUGAUACUGAUAGAGUUUUAGGCAAAUAUUGUCUCUUAUCUGUGAUAGUAGGUUUAUUUUGGUCCCUCAAAUAUGAUCCUAAGCACAUUACAAGAAAUGUUCCUUUUCUCGGCGACCUCAGUCGCUACUAAAUCAUUAACUACAUGUUUAUAGCAGCGACAUUGGACUUUCUACACCUCAAUCCAUUACUAAACAUUUGACGACUACAAACUGUCGUCACAAGAGUCACCAUUUAAUGGCGACAAUGGCGCCACAUAAAGUAUGCCAAGUUGCCACAAAUUAUGUUCCACGAAACAGAUUCAGGGGCAAAUCGCCACUGAAGAGUGGCUUCUAGCGACAAUUUUUUCUCCAUAAUAAAUAAAUAAAUAUCAGUGACAGCCUUUAAUCACCACUAGAGAGUUUGUUUUAGUAGAAGUUGAAGUCGCCACAAAAACGAUUGGCUAUUACCAGCGAUUCUUAGAUUGCAGCAAUUGAUGUCGCCACAAUAAACACAAUAAUCAGUAGUGACUAUGAGCUCGCUGCUGCAAAAUGACAUUUAGUGGCAAUGAUAAUUGCUACAAAAACUAUUAAACAAUCAAUGGCAACUUCAAUAUUGCAGAAUUAAAUUUUGUUACCAGUGAACCUAUUUAAUUCAACAAUUGUAUUGACCAAAAUUAUAUAAACGCAUCCAAUAUUAUUUUAUAAAUACCAAAAGAAUAUCUUAAGUGUGAUAUAAAAUACUUUCAUUACUAAAAUGUGAUAUUGUAACUGUAUGCAUAUACAUCCCAAAAGAGCAAAAUACUAAGUGCCUUAAAGCCCCUCCUUGGUUGUCUCUAUUAUUUAAGAACUUUGUAUAUAACAACAACAAUAAAUACUUUGGAAGACUACAAAGUGGGGCUGGAGAGGGUAGAGUAUAUGCUUAUCUUACCCUUGCCCUACCUUGUGAAGGUAGAGAGGCUAUUUCCUUACCCUUUACCACGAACAUAGCAUGUAUAUUCACCAAGAAUAGAGGACAAAAUCUCAUCUUUUGUCAUGGGAUGCUCGAUCACUUCAGAUUGUUGCUAAGCCACAAACUCCUGGUGCUGGCAUUGCAAUUACGCAUAGUUAUUUACACCAAAACUAUAAAAACGAGUAAAAGAUAGUAAGUUAUUAAUUUAAGAAUAUUACGUGAAUCUGCUGGGAUUGUGGAUCCACCCUCACGGUUUCUCCUCUAUCAUUUUUACGUAUAUGUUGGAUCUCCCAAACUCUAUUCGGUGGUUUCUUUUCUCCCGUAGCAUUAUUUUUCUAGUUCAAUAUGGAAAUAAUACAUAAUCAAAAUAAAUGAAUAUAUAAAUAACAAAGAUGUUUAAUAAAUAACAUGAAAAUAAAUAUAUUUCACCAUCAAUUCCUCUACUUAUGCAAAAGACCUCGUUCCACAAGCAUGCUUAGUUAUCUGCUUUUACCUAUUCUUUCUAUUUCUCUCGCUUAUAACUUGUAUUAUGUCAAUGAUUAAGAAGCCAUUAUUCCAAGGGCAGUGAAUCAAACAUUGGUAUUAAGUUACCUUAAAUUCCGAACAUCCAAAAUACUAUACUAAGUAUUUCUAGUCCUCUAGCUCAACAUCUAUAGAUCGACGAGACAAUAUGUUUUCUUUAGAAACAUGGCGAGAGUAGCAAAUGCUCAAUUGAGCUUUCCAAGCUCUGAGAAGCCGUCGCAUAUUAUUGGUAACAAAGGCUUGAAGCCUAUGCUCUUGCACGCCGCCAAGAACUUCAAAUUUAUCCUUAACAUGCAUGUACCAUUAUAUUUGAUAUUCUAACUACAAAAAUAAAUGAUGCAAUAUAAAUUCGAUACGAUAUUAAAAAUAAUUUUACCUUGACCUUCAACUACAUUGAUUCUCCAUGUUUUGAAACAAUCUUUUGCCAGUUCCAUCACGGAACGAGAUAGUGCUCAUCAUAAUUAAACCACAAUAAUAAACAAUAUAUCUAGCCCCAGUACCUACUGCUCUAUCAAUAUCAUUUGGAAUUGUAAUAGUAAUUUUUCCGCCAUACUUAAUUUUUAUAUCUACUUUCUUGGAUUUAUAUUUUCCUCUUCCUCUCUUUUAACUACUGGCAGAAACUAUACAAAAAAGAAACAAUAUAUGUGAUCAGUCUACAAAGGUGCAGUCAUGUUAAGAAGCGAAAGGCACAAGAAGCGAGAAGAAAAAUUUUGCGCAGAAACUGGAACUUUUUGAACAACUAUAUAACCCAUAAGAAAGGCAAUAAGAACUAUGAUUACUUCAUAUAAAAAUUGGGCAGAUAAUUAAUGGUAGAAACUGGAAAAAUUUGGCAGAAGUUUUCUGAUAAAGAACUACAGGAGAAAAAAAUCGCCAGUAUUUCGACGCUUUUUGGACGUUUAGAAAGAAAAAUUAAAAGAAGAAAAAGAACAAUGAAAUUCAAAAUUGCAGAACUUCAACACAAAGUAGCUGCCGAAGAAGAAGAAGAAGAAUGAAAAUCAAAAUUUCGGACGAUUCUAGUACUUCUCGCUUUUUACAGAGAAGCGGAUGUUUUUUUACCAGAGUCUCUUUUCUUACCCGAAGCGAUGACCUUCACACUUCGCCUCACUUCUUGCUUAAAGCAAGGAAGCGAACGUUUUUUAAUCACUGGUAAGAGUAAUAACUGAAUACUCAAAAACUAACCUGCACAAUUUUCAUUUUAUUCUUCAGGGGAGGGAAGCACAUUUCUGUCCAGAUUCCUUGACGAUACUGUCUCUAUUGAAGGUCUCUGCCAAGGGUUGCUUGAUAUUUGUCCUAUCUCUAGAGGUUCUUGACUAGGGUUAUUUGAUUCUACAGUCUCCAGAGAUGCUGCAGUAUUCCCUAUUGGUUGUACUUGUAGCUGAGACACAAAUGUUGUAGUAUUUCUUAUUGGUUGUACUUGUGGAUGAGACAUUACUCCAGCAUUACCACGUCCUUGCACUACUGCCUAGAUUUGUUGGGUGAGGUUUCUUAUGGAAAGAAUAAAGAUAUGCAAAGGUGUUUAGACAAAAUGAUCAACUGCAUAUUGACACCUCAAACAAAAAGGAAGAUAGCCACACAAGAAUAGACAUAGAUCAGCAAUGGAAAGAACAAAAAAUACUCAGCAAAAUGGAAAUUUUCAAAUAUGUGCACAUUCGGUGCAUAGCUCAAUCGAGGAGGCAUAUGUGUGGUAUUCACUGGAUCAUCAAAAGCAGUUGAAAGGUUCAUAGAGGGCAACAACAAUCUGUACAUAAUGAAAUAUGCAACAAGUAGUUCAAAUUAGCUGAAUCAUUAGCUGGGUAGUGGUGAUGGCAGCAGAUAGGCACAACAGAUAAACUUCUUCCAAUUCAUGAGAGAAAUAUACUUAAACUAGAAAAUUAAAUACUUCUUCCAAUUCAUAACAUGUUAAGUUGUUGUACAAAUUCAUUACAAAGGAUUCUGCAUUAAUGAUUGCAACUUGGCAACUAACGAUAACGUUUUACAAAAGCUUAAUAUAUAAUCUAGUUAUGAAAUUAAAAGUUACAAGCAUAAUGAAUUAAUAUCAUUGUCAUGUCAAUAAGGAACAAAAUAUUGAGAACUUUUCAAAACAAAAAGUAGACAUCUAUAUUAUCUUGCUUCUAAGCCUUCAAGAGCAUCAUCAGUAUCUUAUCCAUCAUUAUCAUCAAGCUAAUCUUCUUCGCUUUCUUCAUCCUCGCAUAUAUCUAUAUGAUUGUCAUUAAUAAAAUCCUCUUCUUCUUCAUCCUUAGAUGUAUCUAUAAGAUUGUAAUUAAUAAAAUUCUCUUCUUUAUCAUGCACACUUCUUUGUGCUUGUUUUCUUGCAUUAUUGUUCUUAAUACUUUAUGGUUCAACAUCAUUCCUAUGUAAAGACAAACAAAUAUCAUUUUCAUGGUCAUUGGUAUGCAAAAUGUUCAAUUCAACUUCCUCUUGUUGAUAAGCUUCUUCAUUCAGCAAUGCUUCCUCGUCAACUUCUACACAAUCAUCAUUUUCGGGCAUAUUGAAAAGGUCACGAGGAAUUGUCUCUAUAACUACAAGCCAAUCUUUAUCAACCAUGUCGUCCAAAUAAAAGACUUGUUCAGACUGAGAUGCCAACACAAAUGGCUCAUUUGUGUUCAAGGCACACUGAGUAUUCACACUUGUGAAGCCAUAUUUAUCAAUCUUAUAUCCGCUUCCCAAGUGAGCCACGUCCCACUAGUGACACUUGAAUAAGUAAACUUUGCUAUUUCCAGUAUAGGUCAACUCGUAAAUGUCAUCCAAUACACCGUAAUACUCCUUAUUAGAGUCUGAAUCAUCUCCUCUCACAAGGACUCCAAUAUUUUGUGUUUUUCUUCUCAUCUCAAGAUCUCUUGUAUGGAAUCUAAAUCCAUUCACCACAAAUAUGGAAUAAUGAUGCACCAUUGGUGCAGGACCAAUGGCUAUACUUAUGAGCUCCUCGAUUGUGUGCCCUUGUGCAGCUAGUAUAAAGACCUACAAGCCAAACAACAUCAUUAUAACUGAUAAUGCAGUAGUAAUAUUACACUAAUAUUAAAAAUGUCACUUAACUAGACACCUACAUGUGCAAGAAACCAAUCAAUAAACCCACUAUUAUGCAUCCCAUAACCUAUUGAACCUUGUCUUUCAAUCUCUCCGUGGUAUUCCCUAUAUAUUGACAAUUGAGUCAAUUAAGAUAAUGUUGUUGAAACAUUUCAAUGUGAGCCUAUCUUGAAAUUAAUAUGAUACUUACUCCAUGAAUGGUAGAACCUCUUCAGAAUUUUGAAGUACAUACAUAUAUGCUUGUUUGAACUCAUCAUGAGAGAGCAUGAUGCCUUCUGAACCACCUUUUGCCCACUUUUUUUGAAGAUAGACAUCUCCCCAUUUGAAAAUAGAUCUAUCGUCAUUCCUGAUAGGUUUGUUGAACUUGGUUGACAUAUUCUGUAAGUAUCUUGAGCAAAAUGUGUGAAUUUCUUCUGGAAAAUAACCUUUGGCAAUUGAACCUUCUGGAUGAGCAUUAUUGCGAACAUAUGAUUUUUUUGUUCGCAAAUACCUAUAUUUAAAUAACUUAUCAAUAUAAUGUGCCAUUAAAAUUAUGGCAUUAAAAUUAUAUAAUAAAUUACCACUCAAAAUGGUACAUCUAUCGAAAUUGAGCUAGUCUACCAAGAUUUUCCUCUCUUGCCAAGUGAAUUGGCAAAUGAACCAUGACAUCAAAGAAUGACAGUGGGAAAAUAAUUUCAAGUUUGCAUAAUGUGCAAGCACAUUCAGCCUCCAAGAUGUCAACACCUUCGAUUGUCAAGGUCUUAGAACAUAGAUUCUUGAAAUAAAUUCCAAGCUCUCUAACUGGUUCACACACUCCUUUAGGCAAUAAACCACGCAUUGCAACUGGGAGAAUGUUUUGCAAUAGUACAUGGUAAUCAUGACUAUUUAAUCCAUAUAUAUUUUUCUCUAAUAUGUUUACACACCUUGAAAUAUUUGAUGAAAAAACAUCAGGAACCUUCAUAUUAGCCAAAAAAUGGCAUAACUUCAACUUCUUCUCCAAGGACAAUGCGUAACAUGCAGCCGAUAACAAUACAUUAUCCCCAUCUUCAAUUGGAUGCAAUUCUUGCCUAAUACCAAGGUCCACCAAGUUAUAUCUACUUUUGAAUGUGUCCUUUGUAUUUCUAACAAUAUUCAUCAAAGUUGAUAUUAUAUUGUCAGAUACAUUUCUCUCUUUGUGCAUCACAUCACGGUUAUGUCGUAAAAAAAAGAGUGCUCCAAUAAGGCAAUUGAAAAAAAUAUACAUUUCUUACUCCAAUGUAAGCACUUUUGGGGAAGUCACGUUUUCGCUUUUUUCCCUUCCCAAAACUCACAUUGACUAUGCCUUGUAAUUGCAUAAGUGCUUCAUCACCUGUUAAAUGAAUAGGUGCAACCCUCUUUUCUACCUUUCCAUCAAAUUUUCUCCUAUUUUGGAGCCAUGGAUGCUCCAUUGGAAGGAAGCGACGAUGACUCAUAUAACACAACUUACUUCUUAAAAAAAACUGAUUGUGUGUCUUUAUGACAACAAGGACAUGCAAGCUUGCCUUUUGUUGAUCAUCCUGAAAGGUCCCCAUAUGUAGGAAAGUCAUUAAUCGUCCACAUUACAUCCGCACACAUCAUAAAAUUAGAUUUUGAGUAGGAAUCAUAGGUUUCGACUCCAUCCGAUAAUUCUUUCAACUCUUCAAUCAUUGGUUGUAAGUAUACAUCUAUAUCGUUUCCUGGACACUUAGGGCCUAGGAUAAGAAGUGUCAUCAUGAAAUACGGAUCCUUCAUGCAAUCCCAUAGCGGCAGAUUAUAUGUUGCUGGUAUGAGUGACCAAAUACUAUGAUUGGCUCUCAUGUUCCCAAAAGGUUGGAACCUGUCACUUGCUAAACCUAAUCGAACAUUUUUUAAUUCAGCUGAAAAGGUGGGAUGUCGCUCAUAAAAGGAUUUCCAUGCUAUAGAGUCAAUGGAUAUCACAAAACACCAUCAACAUUUUUAUCCUUGUGCCACCUCAUCUUUUUUGUUGUCUCCCUUGCCAUGUACAAUCUAUGAAGCCUUGGUUUGAUUGGAAAAUGUUGCAAUACUUUACAAGCUACUUUCUUGCCUCUGUGUUCUUCUGACUUCCAUCUAGACUUACCGCACUUAGGAUAUAAUUGGGCAUUGGCAUAAUCGCGAAAAUAUAAAAUACAAUCAUUCUCACAUGCAUUUAUUUUUGUGUAACCCAAGCCUAGGUCACGAAGAACUUUCUUCACUUCAUAGAAAGAACUCGUUUCAAAUGAGCACUCCGGAAGAACUUCUUUAACUCAACAGUUCAUCCAUUAAUUUGUUGCUCCAAUGACUAAGGCACUUCAAGUGAAGUAGUUUAAUAAUAAAAAUAACUUUGAGACUUUACUACAACCAGGAUAAAGUUCUAUCUAAGCAUCUUCUAACAAUUUGUAGAACUUUGCUGCAUGUAAAUUUGGCUCUCAUUGUCCAUAGAAUUAUUAUUGUUAUCCUCCACAUUCGUAUGUCUCCAUGCAUCGUGAAUCCUUUCUGUAAUAUUAUCCUCUUCAAUAUUAUCAUUUUCUACUUCAUUAUUGAGUGUUACGUUAGAAUUUUCAUUUCUAACUAACACUUCUCCAUGCUAUAGACCUCCAUAUUCAUAGUAUAUUCUAGAGCUUUGAGUUCAUCAUCUGGUACUCAACCUUUAAACUAUCUUAGAUAGAGCAGUUUUCUAACUGCUGUAGGUAGGUUUAUUCACUAUACAUUAACAUAAAUUACAACAUAUAAUAAUAAUUCCAUUAAAUACCUAAAAGACCAAAAACAGGAAUACCAACAUGCAAUAGGUCUCUCAAGAAGAAGCUUUUAACUUACCCAAAAAAAAGAUAGGUGCGAGUUCUGUCACGACUGAAAAUCACCAAAUAGGCUUCAAAUAGGUCUUUUUAUAUGAUUUUUUUUGUAUUCCUGCAGAUUAUCAAAUGGUUUAGAGAAAUUCUAGAUAAAAUAUGAGAAUACAAAUGAAAAAUCACUGAAUUAAUGAUAAUCCCUAUCUGUAUGUUGAAGAUUUUACCUUAUAGAGUAAAAACUUCUUAUUAAAGAAACCCAAGAAAAAUUUAUAUAAAAUUACUAUGGGUCAGUUAAACAUAUGCACAAAAUUCAGAAAAGUCGCUGAGAUUAGGGAAAACUCAGAAACUAUAUUAGAGAAAUCAAAUGUGCUAUUUUCCUCCACAAAAAUCGAUUAGUUUUUCGUUAAAAGAAAAAGGGAGAAAUUAGGGAUUUGACCACAAACCUGAUAGUUGAAUUUCUUAUCUUGAUACGAGAGUAUUGGAGAAGAUAACCCCUUGCUAUUUUCUUUUAGCGGAGAAUGGAUUUUAGAAAAGGAGGGGAGAUUUGAGAGGCGCGAGAGAGAGUGAGAAAACAUACAGUGUGCUCUGUACUGGUUCUGAGAGUUUUAUUUAUUUUGUUUUGUUAUUUUUAAUUAAAAUAUAAGAGGGUCUAUUAGCGACCUAGUCGCUCCAAUACGGAUUUACCGGCGAAAAUUUAAAUUCGUCUCAAAUAAUUUGGAGCCAAAAUUUUAGAUUUAGCGGGUACUGAAAAUUUCAGCCAUAUUAGAGGCAUCCUCAGAAAAGUCGCUGCUAAAUAAUGACUUUUCGUAGAGACCUAUAAUGUCGCUGCUGAAGGUAUCACUUUUAUAGCAAUAUUUAGGGUCGUCGCUAUAUGUUGCCUCUAAGAAUCUAAUUUCUUGUAGUGGCAUAUUUAGUCCUUUUAGCAUGCUAAAGUAGAGCACAUUUACUCUCACUGACGUAAUGUGUUCAAAAGCUAGCGGUGUUACUCAACUCUGAUUCAUGAAGUAAAUCUUCUGCUCUGAAGCAAAAUGAUUCCUCUCCUUUUAUUGGAUAAUGCAAAUUAUCACUUUAAAUUCUUCAUUUUUAGAUAAUUUCUUCUAAAAUUUUUACCUUGAAAAUAUCGCCUUGUGCGCCAGUUUUAACGAGAAAAUGGUACUGUAUAGCCGUUGUAAAUAUAAUAGCCGAAAAAAUAUAUACAAAUUUAUAUAUUUUAGGUAUAUAUAUAUGUACAAUGUACAAAAAUUAUUUAAAUUUUAUAUACUUUUUCGGUUACCAGAUGUAAAUACUUUUUGGCACGAGCUAAAAAUAAUAAUACAACCUGCUUAUUUGUUUGCUUCAAUAAUAUGUCCAGAAGUAAUCUUGGCAGCUCUAUUUUAAAUUUUUUUUUUUGGAAAAGUUAACGAAAAAUUUUAAAUGUAUAUAUAUACAUAAAACAAUAGAAAAAUUUUAUAUAUUUUUUCUGUUGCUAGCUAUACAAUGUCAUUUUCUCAUUAAACAUGCACACAAGGGGAUAUUUUCAAGGUCAAAAUUUUAGAAGACAUUAUCUAAAAUCGAUGAUUUUAAAGUGAUAAUUUGUGUUAUCCAAUAAAAGGGAGGAAAUGUUUUGCUUCAGAGUAAACGAUUUGCUUCUUCAAUCAGAUUCAGCUAACAUCGGUAAUAUUUGAACACAUUGUAUCAGUGAGAUUGAAAGUGCUCAAUUUUAAUAUACUUAAGGAACUAAACAUGCUCAGGAUUAUUUUUGAGGAAUCAGAAUAGAUAUACCUUCAAAAAUAAGGGACAAUAUUGAUAAAAAACUCGAUUUUGAUAAUAAUAUUAUCUAAAGCUCUCUCUGAAACUUCUACCCACUUUUAAAUUUCCUCAUGCAACUGUAGCCUUUAAUUUGAUAAGGACGUAAAAAUAGACUCUUCACUUUAAUAUUACUUGCCCUUAUCUCCUACCUUAAUUAGGUCUAAUACAACCCAAAAAACAAAAUUAUAAAAAUAGCUUUAGAUCAUAUAAGGAUCACUAAAAUAUUAAUUACCUACCGAUUUGAGACAACUCAACGCCAUUCUUUAGGCAAUUUGCUAGGAUCUUGAGAUGUUUAGUUGAUCUUUGGCUCGUUUCAAGACCAGAAGCAAUCAAGGAAUGCACAUUAAUCUCAUGUACCAAACGCAAAUAUUUUUUUCUGUAUGUAUAAAUUUUCAGAAUCUUGUCCAACUUUAAUUUGUCUGUCUCGUCUUAUUCAGUUUUAUAUUCCAUAAAGGGCACCAAAUUGAAGUUGCCAAUUAAGUUACUUUCCUAUAAUGGAGGGUCCAGUUGGAAAAGUCUCAAUAGGUGGAAACUAAUAUUCCACGUCACUAAUUAAAAGUCAAAGACCAGAAUAUAAGUUCAAAGAUAAAGCGAUACAUAGAGUAGUUGUUCAUAUUUUAUGUAUACGUAAAUUAUCCAUAACGCCAAUCAUAGAAAAGAUAAAUUAUUAAUUCAAGAAGUCCAAACAGUGAGGUGAACGACCUACUUCCUGAAGUAGAAAGGCGUUGGCUAUUUUUGAGCACAAUAAGUUUUAGACCAAAGUGUUUGGCAGAAAUUCUAUAAAGAUAAAGUUCAUAAAUAGAAGUGGUUGGCAUUUGAUAGUUGAUGAUAAGAUACCAUUUAAAAAUAGGACCAUAGUCUUAGGACCCGUUUGAUCAUAGUUUUUUGUCAAAAUAAAUUUGAAUUUUAUUUGGUAAACAUAUAUUUGAUCAUAAAUUUUACUUAUAUUUUGACAAAAUUUUAAAUUCCAAAACUAUCUAUUAAAUUAGUUUUCGGUCAAAAUAUUUAUAAACACUAAAAGUAUAUCAUGUUUUUCAAAAUAAAUUUAAUAUAAAUUCUGAAAAUGUAUAUCCAAAUAAAUUUUUAUUUUCAAAUCAAACUUUACCCAAAUUAAAAUUUUUAAAAUAAAUUUAAAAAUGCAUAACCAAAUGCUAGUUUAUUUUGUGUUUACUUUGGACACAAUAAGUAUUGGAUCAAAGUGUCUGGCAGAAACCGUAUGAAGAUAAAGCUCAUAAAUAGAAGUCGUCGGCAUUUGAUGGCUGAUGAUAAGAUACAAUUAAAAAAUAGGGACCCAAAUGGAUGUCUUGUUUUAUGUCUUUUUUCUGUCAUUGAUCAUUUUCUGUCUAAAGCAAUAUAGAGGACUGUGUGUGCGCCACUAUUUUGUAAGUAUGUGAUCACGUUUAAUUAUGCCUUAUAAAAAGAAUAAAAUGAUUGUUGUAAAUAUAUUUCGGUUAAUAAGUUCGGAAUCGAAUUCCACAAGAAAUUAACGUAUGAAUUACAGCUAUUGAACUCACAUAAAUUCACGUAUUCAAUCUUCAGAGAUAUUUGAGUAACAAAUAGAGUGUUUAUUAACUAAAUAUUAUGUAAUAUAAAUGCAGUAUUUAAGAACUAGCUAUAAACUGGUUGUAAGCAAGAAUGAGAAUUGUCUAAGGUUCUGAUUUCCCCUCUUGUCGGAUCCUUUCCGCUAUGUUUUCUAUAAAUUUUCCUAAGUCUUCUCUAUCCAUCAUGAGGACUCUGAGGUCGUAACUCUCUCCCAAGUAAUUAUAGCAAUAUACUGACACAUUCUCCCAAAUUACGCUAGUUGGCCUUAGUUACAACUUACUUUGAUCGCACCCAAGGUUUCAUUACCCCUAAUCCCACUUUUAAACCUUCGUAUUGAUCCCUCAUCGACUUUAGAAGUGAUGUUGUUCAACAAAUACAUAAAUAUACACUCCCCCAGAGUAAUUCAUACUAAAUAGGCACAUCGAUUGAAGCCCUUCAAUCAAACAACAAUCACAAUAUAGCUGAACAAAUAGAGAAAAUACUAUGACAAAUCUAUAUUAACAUAUAAGAAAUUCAUCCUCCAAGAGGUUCCAUCAAAACCUUAGAUUAAAAGUUUAGCUAGACAUAAUUAUUUUCACAAUUAUAAUGAUAUAAAUUAUCCUCAAUGAUAAAAACAAGAACAAGAAAGGUAAAAACUCUAUAUUGAAUCUUCCACCUUGCUUCUUGCCUAUUCUUUCCUUCAAAAACAUUUCAAAAACCUCGAUAUCCUCUAUUUGGAUGAGUUAGGCUUAUUAUAAGUCAAGGAGAGUCGUCUAAGAAAUUACACAAUUGACCUUGCAAUAUUUGGCUCCGAGUAUCACGUCCGCGGCCGUGGAUGGACAUUGACCGCGGAUUUGACACAAGUUCUGUCUGCGGUCGCCGAUUGACCGUGAACCUGGGCGUGGAUUUUCGAUCAUGUUAUCCUCCGAUUGGCCUUCCUGGAUGCAUAUUGACUCCAAAAUACUUUUUUAGCUUUCUCCUAGCUCGGAAUGGCUCCUGCAAAGCAAUAAACUCGUAAUUAGAGCAUUUUGUUAUCUUUUACAAUCAAACAUACAUAAAGUGCAGCCAAAUUAGAGUGUUAAUAUUUGCAAACUUGUAUGAUUAUCAGCUCAACACCCCACACUUAAGUUUUUUCUCGUCCUCGAGCAAUCAAACUAUACUCUAUAAUCGCCUAACUUCACUGAGCGACUGCCCUAACUCGUAACACCGAGAACAUUUCACAAGAAUUGAGCCCAAUAGUGUAACAUCUUCGCCUCAAAAGUUUACUCUCCCAUGUCACGCAAUAUUCCUAACUUUACUUAAUUUAUGUAACACAAAGGUUAAGACUCAUAUUUUAUUUCUGAAUCAAGUUCCCUUUCAUAACAAACGAGAGUGGUUCCACAUAUAAUAACAUUUUUAGAACAAUUAGGAACUCAAGAUAGAAAUAAUUCACUCACUUUAAAAAAGAACAUUCAUAUGCCCUACAAAAUGCACCAUAGUCUUGCCCGUAAUGUACUACUCCACUAAUCGAGCUCAUUCCGUUAAGGAUCAAUUAAGACUUCAUUUGGUUGUAAUGUGGGCUGCGGGACAGGUAGGAUGCAUUUGGAUAUAAGAGUGACUACACCUCCCUAAGAAAUUUAAUAUAUAUACUUUAACAUUUAAAGUGUUACACUUAUGUCAAACCAUAACUCCACCUUCACAUCACUAUAUGUGAACUCCAUUCUUCUUUAAGCACACUUACAUGAAGAGUCACCACUUAUCAAGGAAUUUUUUUGCACCACUACAACUAUAUUUUUUUUUCAAUUCAAGUGGCUCUUUCUUUUUCAAAAUAGUGCAUCUUUCUCCUUAUCUCAUUAGUUCCACUCAAAAGCCAAACCAACCACCCCACACUUUAACUUUUACAAAGUUCAUAAUAAUUCAAGUGCUCAUGACAGGUAAAAGGAUCAAAUAGAUGAUUAAUUCAAAUAAAUGGAUAAGGUUUAUAAUGUGGUUACCAAAGAAACAAGAUUACAUGCUCAAUGGGGUUACCUACAAUACAUAAUAAAUAGGCGGGUAAUAAAGAAAUGCCUAUAUCAUUUUAAAUAUUGAACAAACUACUAUUUCGCUUUGCAAACAUACGGGACAAGUUCUAGGCAUCCAAUGCAAUGCAUAGAAUACAAAUAUCAUCACACACACAUGGAACAUAACUCACUCCAGAUUUGAUCAUCGAAAUGCUCUAGUCAGAGUACUUAACCCAAAUUAAGAACAUACAAUUUAAGGAACUCUAAUAAGAAUCAAAAAUUGAACCUAAGCGUCACAGUAAAGUAUCUAUUAUAUUCAAGUCAUAAUGAUGAUAAGGGACCCUCCUUCCAUAUCAACCCUUAGCCCACAAGUACGUAAUUUAAAUUAAAAAGAAAACUAACUAACCAGGUUCAAACAAAAUUCCUUGAAAAAGAACCACGGAAAAAAGAAAAACCAAGGGGUAAUUGAUAUACUAACUACAAAAUAAAGUCUUUUUUUAUAUAUAUACCGACUUAGACCCUCAAGAAACCCAUCGAAUGAUAUCCAUCGUCAGGACAAGUCGAACACAUUUAGACUACUAAUCAAAAACGAAAAUCAAACUAACUAACGAUUACAAUCAUAUUAACCAAAGACUACAAUCAAACUAGAAUCAAGCUACAUUUCUAUAUAUACACAACAUACCAACGAAGUAACCCCCACCCCACACAUAAAAAAUGUCAUGUCCUCAUGUCAUAAAAUAGAAAGUAAUGCCAGGCAAAGGAACUUCCCUGGAAGAUUAGUCUUGAUAUGAGACCGUUCCUGAGUCUAAGUGACAUGCCCUUCCCAGCGCACGCAACUAGAUCAUGAUUUUAUUCUCUGGUUUAGCAUUCCGAGUGGCCAAGGCAUCAAGUCUCGUCCCUAAGUCUGUGAUAGUAGUCCAUAGCUCUGCCAGUUCCUACUCUAAGGAUGUCAACUGUGUAACCUGACCAACCGCAGAUGGCCCUUUGGCUUUUGCAACAUGCUCAUGGGGGAAGGGGGAGGGGGCGAAUCAGCCCCGACUUCAUCCUACUCAUCAUCUCCCUUCUCAAAUGCCUCAAAAUGAUCACUAUCAGUUGAACUGGCUGCCACCGCCUCUUUCCCAAUUGUCACCUUGGAAGCCCGUAACAUUGUUUCUUUCUUCACCUUGCAGUCUACAUCGGGGUUUUCUGAUACCCCUACGCCCCACAAAAUCGAGUGAGCAGAGAUGGGAAGAAGAACCCAUACCUUCUCAGUAGUGAAUGGAUGAACAUCUCCGAGUAAAUAACCUUGGCCACAUCAAAAUCACGGCCAUUAUUCGUAUUGAUGUCCUUUGUUGGGGACAGUGCGUUUCAUACCUACAAGUCUCGAUAGACAGGUCGAGAGUCCUCCAAAAUUAGGCUAUCAGCUCAGUGGAAGAUGUGGAUGAGUAACAUUUGCACCAGAGUUGCUUGUUUGGUCAUUAAAAUUUAGACGUGUAUUGUUUAGUAUGGCGGGGCCCUGUCCCGAGCUUUAUGAUGCCUAUUUACUCUUAGAGGCUUGUAGAAAAUUUUCAUGUAUACGGAUACUUGUAUGGCCUUGUCAUCUUAUUUUCCAUGACACACAUCAUAUUCUGGAAAUAAUCGGCCUUUUGGGCCUGCAAGAAAAUAUUAACCAUUUCUUUCUCAUCCAUAGGUAGUUUCACUCUAGCUUAUUGAUCGCGCUACUUGAUAGCAUAUUCAUAGAAACUUGCAGUGGUUUUAUUCUUAGAAUUAGUUAUGGAAUUCCUAUCUGGAGAUAUAUCAAUAUUGUAUGAAAUUGCCUGAUAAAAUCUCGAGCCAAAUCUUCCCAUAUAUGCCAAUGGGAGAAGUCCUGGUCCAUGUACCAUUCUAACACAAUUCCCGUCAGGCUUUCCCAUAAAUUAGCCAUCAAUAACUCUUUUAUUCCACAUGCACCCCUCAGCUGGUUACAAUAUUGUUUCAUAUGAGCGAUCAGGUCUGUCCAUCGUACUUUUCAAAUUUUGGCUUUUAAAGCCAACGGGCAAGUGAGCAUAGGGAAACAUACACACGUUAGAGUAGGAGACACUCUUUUGGCCACUCAGAACUUGCAUGUUUUUUAGACAUUGUUCGAGGCUUUUCAUCUUCCAAGCCAUUUAUUCUUGCUCGGUGUUUCUCACUUUUCUUACCUAUUCCAAUGGAAACUCGUAUUGUGGGUGCUGGGGGUAAGAGUUUGGGGUAACAUGAGUUGUGUCUAGCUAAAAUUUUGGGGCUUAAAAAGUGAAAGAUGAAGGCUCGAAGCAUGGCUUAUGCCCUGUUGGCUGUGCCAUAGCGGAGACAGGUGGUGCGGUGAAUAAUAUAGAAGGUACCGCCGAAAAAAUGCUUCCUAGGGGCGGACCUCAGAAGGCAUACCAGUGAAGUUGGCUGAUGUAGUCGGGUACCCAAACGGGACAAAUGGAUUUGUCCCAUGGAUGAGAAUGUUGGGGGUUCUACAUAUCUUGGGGAGUAGUUUUAGGAAAUCCACAGGAUUGUACUGGGUGGUUCUCUGCCAUUAGACCAAGCAUCUUACAUCUCUGAUAUAUGGACGCGCACCUUCUAUUUUCUUUAGCAGCUGAUGAUUCUGGCUGUGGAAUAGCUUAUGCCGGGCUAUCCUCAAGAUCAAUAAUCUCUAGAUGACUUUCAGAGGACAUAGGAACACUUCCUUUGGAUCUUGUGAAGUAAGGAUGAGAAGCCAUAUUACCAAAAAGCCAACCACCUAAAUAGGAACUAUUUUUAUUUGUACACACAACCACCUUGUCAGCUGAGACAUGUAAUAGAUGUGAAAUUGCUUUUUUGGGGAUGCAAUACACCUAAACAAUUAAAUAUUUUAAAAUGUUUUUGUAACGCCUAUGUGUUUCAUCCUGACUUUUACUAUCUCAAAUUUCAAAUCCUGAUUCUUUUUCCUUCUCUUUUCUAUUGUUUUUCGUUUUAUUUUUAUUUUUAAUCUUUUAUGUAUUUUUUACUCAUUUUUUUCUAUUUUUCAGUUUUUAUUCUGUCGGUUAAUUUUUCAUCGAAUUGUCUAUGUCUAUGAUCGAAUCCGAUGGGCAUUGCCUACAUAUCAUGAUGCCGCAUGAAUAAGAUUAUUACGUAGUUCAGGGAUAUUAGGAGCAAGAUAUUUGAGCUAACUAUUUUUUUUCUAAUUUAUUCAACAUUUAUAAAUAGGCAAGUCAUAACUCAAAAGCUUCUAAAAAGGAAAAUAUUUUGUGUCGCACCUCUUUUUUCUCUCUAAAUCGGAUUUCGACAUUUGAUAGCUCCUUUUUAUAAGGGAAAUGGAUUGGUUAUGAGGAGUUUAUCCCUCUAACUGAUUAAGGUGCAUUAGGUCACCUAUUGCAAAUAACUCACAUUAUACUAGUUUGCAUCACUAGAGAUCGGGUAAAGGCCCAAGUUACCUCGAGGGGAAGGUGUUAGGCACCCCUUGUGGUUCACAAUGGUGGUCCCGACCAAACUUAACUUAUGUGAAUUAGUAUAAUAAAGAAAGCGAAGGAAUAAUUUAAUAGGGAUGGGGGUCCUAUGUUUUUUAGCCUAUAAGAUUACCCUGUACAACAUAAAUAAUACAUUAUAACUUCCCCAAGAUGGGUUUGUUACUCAUAUUAUUCAAUGGGCACAUUCUAUCAUCUCCUUCUAAUCAUUCUAAGUCGUGUCCUACGUGUGCACUACCCGCCCCUUACCUAUGAUCAUGGAGGAAUUUGGACAUCUAUUUUGGGAUGGUUCUAGACUCGACUUAAGUUGCUCAAAGUUGUAAAACUAAGAAACACACAAAUUAUAUUGGAUUUUACAUGAAAAAGUAGAUAAAGGCUCAAUUUAGCCUCAAUACAUAAGGUAGAAAAUGCACGCAAAACAUAUUGACGUAUCGACAGUUUAAUCAGUUAAGAAUAUUAAAUCCUAUAGACAUGAUUUCUACAUGGCUCUGGAUUCCAACAUGCUGACAGUUUGUGCAAGCUAUCUGUAGGUAAUUUUGUAAUUGCCUAUAGAUUUCACUUAAAGAAUUUUAACCUAUAGGCAGGCUAUCCAGGUGACUUACUCAACAAUUGACAACAGAAGUGCUUCAGAAUUAUUAGUUACUGCUAUAGGAAUGCUUCCUAGUGGUACGUAGAAUUCAAGUUUUAUUAUUUGACACAAAUGGUAGUUAUCCCUUUGAGCGUGCAUUCUAGUUUUAGUGAUGGAGUCUCUAUAUUACUUCCUAAAGACAUGCGUAUUAACCAAGCGACUGUGACGAUUUAUUAAGGCCUAUAAACAUGAUUUAUAAAGAAACAAAUCUAUGUGUAUUGUAAUUUAAACUAAUUAUUGCAUUUCCUAUAUGCAUGGUAUCUAAUUAUGCAAAACAAAAUAGACAAUAUACUCGCAAAAUUUAUUUGAACCAGAAUAAAAUCUCUAUAGUUAGGUUUUCUAACAUGCAAUGGCAACAAUAAGCAUUUAGAAAAAUUUUAUCACACAAUUUAUGGGCAUAAAAUAAAACCUAUAGGCAUGCUAUCUCACAUAAUAAUAGCAGAAGACCUAUAGGCAUGUUAUCUAUCCACAGAAAAUUUAAUAGACAUGUGUCCAAAUUUAAUUACCACCCCCAAUUGUUAUUACAGAAAAAAUUAUUACAGACCACCAUUAAUUGAAUAAAUUACAGGGUAUGUAAACUAUAGGAAGGCUUUAGCAGGCCUAAUAAAACAUCUGAUGCCCCAGGCCCGUCAAUCCACACCUUCUCCAAAAGCCAGUGUUCAUAGAACCACAAAGUGAUUGACUCAAUUCUGUUUUAAAGAACAAGCUUACCAAGCCCACUGUUCUAGUAUGUCAGAGUUCCCAAGGUCUUCCCGAACCCCGGCAGUGCUCACACUAGAGUGAAAAAACAUAACCAAUUCAAGGGAAGAUUAGAGACUAAAUCCACGUACGUCAGAGUUUACGAGGGUUUCGUAGGAACCAUGUUUAGUGCUCAUACCAAGAAGGCCAAGGACAAUACUCGGAUUAGGAAGGAUUAGGGAUCGGAAGAGUGCAGGACAUGAUUAGGAAUCACACUUCUGGAUAGAGUCACUUACAGAAACAGAGACAAACACUUCGAAACUAAUAAGUUUUGAAGCUAAUAAGUUUGAAAUUUUAACAGGGGAUCAAAACAUACUUCACAAAGAUAGUAAAGAAUAAAGAUUAAGAAAAUAACAUGUUGGUAAUUAGUAAGAACUAAUAGUCUAGUGAGCAUAGAAUAAUAUAUUAACAAAACUGAUUAAGUGUUACAUGAUAGAAUGGUUUUAAGGAAUGAUAUUAAAUACACUUAAGGACAACAUUGAGAGUACAUAAUCAAUAAGGUUUCAUCACUAAGUUAAGACAAGCCUAACAUUCAUAGAGCAAUAAAUUUAGUAUAGUAGCAUAUUGAGCAAUUAAAUGAUAGAGAGGUUGAAGUGACUUACUAAUUCAGAUGCAACAGGAAAAGGUUAAAUAAUAAGGCAAUUAACAUCAAUAGCAGCGAGUGACAGUACAUAUUUCUAUCCUUGGCUUUCAACCAGCCAGAAUAAAAAUAGAAUGUAGUAGUAUAGAGUAUAAAUUUUUUUUAGUGAAAGUAAUUUCAAGUUCUUAAUCUUGUUCUAAGGGGAAAGAGGGGAGGGGUAUAAAUAGUAUUAGACUAGGGUACAUAAACAUGGAAUAAUGAGUCAACUAAUUAAGGAAAAAAAACUCAUAAUAUUAUUAAGGCUAGCCAAGAAGAACACUGUGUAAAAUAUGCAGUCAUAGUAGUUUAGGGAUUAAGACGAGUAUGUGAAUCAAAGAUCCUUAGGAAAUAAUUAAAGGCAUAUGUCAUAAAUAGUUAAACAGAAUCAACUAAGAAGUAAAGAAUGAGAACCCUAGUUUUUGAGGAGUCAAAAAUAAGCAUAGGAAUAACACAUAAACAUAUAGAUACACGAAAACAUUAAAGAGAAAAAAAAUCAAAACUAAGGAACCAUAACAGAUCUGAGCCCUAAUUCUGGGCGAGUAAAAUUAGUCAGGAAAUUCAUGAAAAUCACAAUAGAAUGCAUGUACACAUGUAUACGAAACAUUAAAAUGGAUAUUCAACCAAAAGCAAAACCAGAACUUUGAGCCCUAAUUUUAGGGAAAAGUAAAUUAGGCAGAAGACUUUUAACUAAAAAAAUUGAAAAAUAUUCAUAGAUAGACAUGCAAAAACAUAAAUGAUAUUUUAACUAAAAAUAAAAAAUAAUUUAAAUAGAUCUUUAGAAAGGUCUAAACCCUAGCUUUGGGGUACAUAAAGAAUAUAGAAAAUCUCAGAGAUUCGUACCCCAAGGAGAUGAAGAAUGAACAUAGAUGAAAAAAGGAGAAAGUUCAAACCAGAUUUGAUCCGAAAAUGGAAAAUUUAGCUUGUCAUGUUAGGCAAACUAUUAGGUUAUACCAUAAACAAGUAGCCAGUAGUGAGAUAAGGCCAAUAAGGUAAGAAAAUCAUUGAUUAGUUCCAUAUUUGGUUGAAAUCAAAGGGAGAUUAGGGGUGACGACCCUUAGGGUUUCAGAGGGGAGGAGAUGAGGGAAUUUAAGGGCCGCAUUUUGGAGAUAAUGGGGAAUUAGGGUUGAGGAAAUUAAAAUAAAAGGGGGUAUUGCAUAGAGGCCGUUGAUCAAUGCUUAAGAG
rnacentral:lncRNA from 1 species